GCAGCACUGGUGUAAUGGUAGCGCUUUAGCUUGCCAAGCUAAGGGCAGGGGUUCGAUUCCCCUGUGCUGCUCCA
rnacentral:tRNA from 1 species